ACGCUCGACACCUACGGGGAGGCAGCAGGUCGGGAAUAUUGCGCAAUGGAGGAAACUCUGACGCAGUGACGCCGCGUAUAGGAAGUAAGGUUUUCGGAUUGUAAACUAUUGUCGUUAGGGAAAGAAAAAGACAGUACCUAAGGAGGAAGCUCCGGCUAACUACGUGCCAGCAGCAGGCGGUAAUCUGAGGCGGGCUGGCAAGGC
rnacentral:rRNA from 1 species